rnacentral:rRNA from 1 species
UACGGGGGGGGCAAGCGUUGUUCGGAAUUACUUGGCGUAAAGGGCUCGUAGGCGGCCAACUAAGUCGGAUGUGAAAUCCCCAGGCUCAACCUGGGAACUGCAUCCGAUACUGGAUGGCUUGAAUUCGGGAGAGGGAUGCAGAAUUCCAGGUGUAGCGGUGAAAUGCGUAGAUAUCGGGAGGAACACCUGUGGCGAAAGCGGCGCACUGGACCACAUCUGACGCUGAGGCGCGAAAGCUAGGGGAGCAAACAGG